GACGAACGCUGGCGGCGUGCUUAACACAUGCAAGUCGAACGAAGAGCGAUGGAAGCUUGCUUCUAUCAAUCUUAGUGGCGAACGGGUGAGUAACGCGUAAUCAACCUGCCCUUCAGAGGGGGACAACAGUUGGAAACGACUGCUAAUACCGCAUACGAUCUAAUCUCGGCAUCGAGGAUAGAUGAAAGGUGGCCUCUACAUGUAAGCUAUCACUGAAGGAGGGGAUUGCGUCUGAUUAGCUAGUUGGAGGGGUAACGGCCCACCAAGGCGAUGAUCAGUAGCCGGUCUGAGAGGAUGAACGGCCACAUUGGGACUGAGACACGGCCCAGACUCCUACGGGAGGCAGCAGUGGGGAAUCUUCCGCAAUGGACGAAAGUCUGACGGAGCAACGCCGCGUGAGUGAUGACGGCCUUCGGGUUGUAAAGCUCUGUUAAUCGGGACGAAAGGCCUUCUUGCGAACAGUGAGAAGGAUUGACGGUACCGGAAUAGAAAGCCACGGCUAACUACGUG
rnacentral:rRNA from 1 species